UCUGACAAUAGUCAUAAGUUUUCACUAAAUGAAAAAAAAGGAUAAAAAAGUACAUAAAAACACUAUCAAAAUGUAUUUCUAUAUACAUACAUCAAGAGAGGAAUCACAAUUAUCUCUUGGAGUGAUAAUACAGGUAGUUUUCAAUUAUCUUCUUAUCCCAAAGGUCACAUUUAUACACAAGAAAUGUAUAACUGAAGACCUUAUAUAAGUCAAAACUCAUAUAAUUCAAGAUUUACCCUCACAGAAAAGUUAAUUCUACUUAUCAGCAA
rnacentral:lncRNA from 1 species